AGGUAAGCUCUGAUGCAAUGUUUUCAAAAUCAGUAUAGUCUUCAUGCGCAAAUGGAAGUUUGGAAGAAAUUCUUCUGCAUACAGUUCUUCAAAGCCAAGAUUUUCUGUCAGUCUAGAGACUACAGUACAAAAUUUUGGAAACAACAAAUUGCAGGUGUUUUAUGACUCAGACCAAGAUCCAAAUUUGGCCAUAGUUUUCUAAUUUAACAUAGAGCUGACAAGUCUUGUCUUCUAUAGAUUAAAUUGCUACGUUUCAAUUGGAUUUCAUUGAAGUUGAUCUAGUAUGUAAUUGAAAUUGCAUGAAGUUCCAGCUGAGAUUUAAUUGUGAUAGCAGUGAAGUGAGGGUGGAGGGCUUGGAGACGCUGGACUAUCUUGACAACUUGUGCCAAAGAGAGCGUUUCACUGAGCAAGGAGAUGCCUUAACAUUUGAAUCCGAGGUAACCAAAUUCUAACCUGUAAAAGUUUCCAGCUGCAGGUUGUCAAUAUGCUUGACUAAAUACAGCCCUUAUUGUAUGAACACUAUUCCUUGUAGUAUAUGGGCUUACCAUUCUUCAAUUGGCAAUUUUCUGAAAUAAGCCAACUGAUAACAAUGAGUUCUCAGAAGAACUAUUGGUGUUUUGGGAACUGCACUUGUCAAGAAAAAUCCUGUUACUAUAGCUCGAAGCCAAGUGGAGCUCCAUGUUUGGGCAGGGGGGAGUGACCACCUGAGUGAAUAGAGCUGGGAAAGAACUUGUCAAACAAACACUUCAAGAUCCUAAUAACACGUAUACUUGAUCAUUUGAAGAUUAGAUUCAAAAAAGAAGAAGAAGAAAAUCAAAAUUAGAUAAUUUCAAGGUAUAUAAAACUUCUGCGAAGGAUGGGAUUCUAUUUUCAGCAGGGCUGCAUGCCUUUGGUAUCAAAUUUGCUGCAAAUAUCGUUUUGAGGUUAUCUCGUGUGC
rnacentral:lncRNA from 1 species